UACGUAGGGUGCAAGCGUUGUCCGGAAUUAUUGGGCGUAAAGAGCUCGUAGGCGGUUUGUCGCGUCGGCUGAGAAAACCUAGGGCUCAACUCUGGGCUUGCAGCCGAUACGGGCAAACUAGAAUUCGGUAGGGGAGACUGGAAUUCCUGGUGUAGCGGUGAAAUGCGCAGAUAUCAGGAGGAACACCGGUGGCGAAGGCGGGUCUCUGGGCCGAUAUUGACGCUGAGGAGCGAAAGCGUGGGGAGCAAACAGG
rnacentral:rRNA from 1 species